AAUCAACGCUGGCGGCGUGCCUCAGACAUGCAAGUCGAACGAUUAAAGCCCUCUUCGGAGGGUACAUAAAGUGGCGCACGGGUGAGUAACACGUAAGUAAUCUACCUUCGAGUGGGGAAUAACAACCGGAAACGGUUGCUAAUACCGCAUAAUGCAGCGGCAUCUAUGAUGACAAUUGUUAAAGAUUUAUCGCUUGAAGAGGAGCUUGCGGCAGAUUAGCUAGUUGGUAAGGUAACGGCUUACCAAGGCGACGAUCUGUAUCCGGUCUAAGAGGACGGUCGGACACACUGACACUGAAUAACGGGUCAGACUCCUACGGGAGGCAGCAGUCGGGAAUUUUGGGCAAUGGGCGAAAGCCUGACCCAGCAACGCCGCGUGAAGGAUGAAGUUUUUCGGAAUGUAAACUUCGUAAGAAUAGGAAGAAUAAAUGACGGUACUAUUUGUAAGGUCCGGCUAACUACGUGCCAGCCGCCGCAGUAAGAC
rnacentral:rRNA from 1 species